ACCGAAAUAGCGUUCAGUUGGGAGAGCGUUAGACUAUAGAUCGAAAAGUCUCUGGUUCGAUCCCGGGUUCCGGCA
rnacentral:tRNA from 1 species